CGCGCGCCAACGGAGGCAAAUCUGCGAGAGGCGAUGGGACCGUAGGGCCGCCGCAGGACAGGAUCUUCAGCCGGCUGUGGACCCUCAGACGCAGCAAACUCUGGAGCUGCCAAGGCUGGGCAGGCUUCAGGGUAACCAGGAGAAUGCUGAAACAAGAGAGGCUUCCUGCAGGAGGGCUUGAAGCCUGUGUCCAUCAGUCCAUUUGUCACCAGGAAACCCAGCCCAGAGUGGAGGGAAGCAAGACCUCACUCCUACAUAAAUAAAGAACCAGAAAAUUUUAGAUACAGCCUCAAGAAGUCCUUCCCAUCCAGUAGGUCACAGAAAAUGGUCUCAGAUCUUCAGAGCGGGAGGGCCAUAUUGAGCAUUUCAAAGGUGGACCAAGAAUCAUGAGUCUGUGAAUCCUGCUUUUCUGUGAAAGGCACAGUGAAGAGGGGAAAGACCCUCCAGGGAAGGGAGAGGGUGGCUGAUCUUAGGGGAUGAACUCUGGGGAGUAAGGAGCAAGGCUGAGAGCUGGAGACCCAACCCAGGGAAUUAACCCAGCUCUCAGUUUCAGUCAACUAUAGAAGGUGGCACACCCCCAAUCCCCAGUGGCAGCCCCUCACUCUCCCAGGUGGCAGAUACCUUUAUAUUCCUCAAUUCCUCCACGCAUCCUUUUGAACAAUGUCCCCUUCUGCAAAGUGUAUGACUCUAGGCCAAACUCUUAAGCUCCCUGAGCCCAAGCUCCCAUCUGUGUACUGCGCUUGCAUUCUCCUUACAUAGAACACCUAUUUAUAGGUGGAGAAAGAAGACCCAAAGAGAACUAUGGCCGCCUCUUCUCGCCCGGAGGUUACACAGCAAGUGGCAGGAUCAGAACUCCCUCUGCCCCUGGACAGGUGUGGGAUCUCAGCAUUCUGCCCACAGCCUUCUGCAGGAGGCUGGAGAGACACCACAGAGAUCUCCUGGUAGCCCCUUGAGUGUAUACUCAGAGGAUCAGGUUCUAUUAUCCUCCUUUAACUUCUCAGAGGAAAAAGGAUUUUUUUUUUGUCAAGAUCAGCUACAUAAUUUGUGAAACAUUACCCUGGUUCUAUUUCCUCUAUAACAGUGUAAAAAUAGGACAUUUUCAUCAAAAGAUAGGAAAAUUUUACCAAACAAAUGUUUUGUUGUAAUCUCAGAAAUAAUGUCCCUUCAGUGGAGAAACGCCAUUUUAGCCAUGAAAUAUGUGCCCCCAACUAGCCUGUUGUGCUACAGUGAUGCCCACCCAUCUGACACAGAGUUACAGAGGCAGUGUCACC